rnacentral:rRNA from 1 species
GACGGAGGAUGCAAGUGUUAUCCGGAAUCACUGGGCGUAAAGCGUCUGUAGGUGGUUAAGCAAGUCAACUGUUAAAUCUUGAGGCUCAACUUCAAAAUCGCAGUCGAAACUGUUUGACUAGAGUAUAGUAGGGGUAAAGGGAAUUUCCAGUGGAGCGGUGAAAUGCGUAGAUAUUGGAAAGAACACCGAUGGCGAAGGCACUUUACUGGGCUAUUACUGACACUCAGAGACGAAAGCUAGGGUAGCAAAUGGGAUUAGAUACCCCAGUAGUCCUAGCCGUAAACAAUGGAUACUAGAUGUUGAACAGAUCGACCUGUGCAGUAUCAAAGCUAACGCGUUAAGUAUCCCGC